GAUGAACGCUGACAGAAUGCUUAACACAUGCAAGUCUUUGGUGAAGCUGUGCUUGCACCGCCUAGCCAAGGCGGACGGGUGAGUAACGCGUAAGGAACUUGCCCUGCAGUCAGGGAUAACAGACGGAAACGACUGAUAAGACCUGGUAAAGUCAGGCGGACUCAUGUCCAGCCUGAUGAAAAGAGAUGCUGCAGGAGAGCCUUGCGUCCUAUUAGCUUGUUGGUGGGGUAACGGCCCACCAAGGCAAUGAUAGGUAGCCGGCCUGAGAGGGUGGACGGCCACAAGGGGACUGAGAUACGGCCCUUACUCCUACGGGAGGCAGCAGUGGGGAAUAUUGGACAAUGGGAGCAACCCUGAUCCAGCAAUUCUGUGUGCACGAUGAAGGUUUUCGGAUUGUAAAGUGCUUUCAGCAGGGAAGAAAAAAAUGACGGUACCUGCAGAAGAAGCGACGGCUAAAUACGUG
rnacentral:rRNA from 1 species